UACGGAGGGUGCAAGCGUUAUCCGGAUUCACUGGGUUUAAAGGGUGCGUAGGUGGGCAGGUAAGUCAGUGGUGAAAUCUCCGGGCUUAACUCGGAAACUGCCAUUGAUACUAUCUGUCUUGAAUACCGUGGAGGUCAGCGGAAUAUGUCAUGUAGCGGUGAAAUGCUUAGAUAUGACAUAGAACACCAAUUGCGAAGGCAGCUUACUACCCGAAUAUUGACACUGAGGCACGAAAGCGUGGGGAUCAAACAGG
rnacentral:rRNA from 1 species